rnacentral:sRNA from 1 species
UUGCCGCAGGCAACGACCCGAAGGGCGAAACGCGCAGCGCUGAGUCAUCCUUCCCCCACCACCA